rnacentral:rRNA from 1 species
AUGGCCAUGGAGAGGUUCUUCACGGCGCUCGUCUUCUGCGAGGCGCCGCUGGACGGCUACGGCACAUCGGUGCUCACCGCCGGCGCGAUGGACAGGCCGGUCUCUGCCGGCGGCAGCGCGACGAAGCCGGCGGUGGCUAACAAGACGGACUCUCAGAAGGAGCAGGGACUCUUCAACGGCAAGCCGACGGCGCAGCGGCGCCCUGCGUUCGAGCUCGCGUUCGACGGUGUCAACUGCUUCGACACCGUCGUCAUGCACUGA